GUACUUCUCUUGGGGGAAAGGAGUAAACAGCUGUAAAAGAUAGUCGGUGGGCCCCUGGUGGUGGGGUAAAAUCAACCCCUGGCUGCUAAACGGCCUCCUGGAGUAUGCGGGAGGGUGAGCGACGCAGGUUCUGGUUUGCUGGGUUGCUAUGCUGGGUUAGAGCGGAAUUCUUCAAGACAGCGGAGGAAGGGCUGAGCAGCUGCCGCCAGAGGGCGCCCUUCCCCCCUCCCCCUUGCUUCCGGACACCUCCGCACUUAGCAGCCCUUCGCCCUCCUUCCCAGCACUAAACAGUGGUUAAAGACUGUGGGUUUGAAGGCCAGGGCAUAUGCUCAUCUUCCAGAGCCACAGCUGAAGAAAUUGCAAAAGGAAGGUCCAGAACUACUCCUCUCACAAGAUGAAGUAGCAGGGACUCCAACAGAUGAAGUAUGAUUUCUGCAAGUUUGGGAAUCCAGCCCAGGUCUGCUUGGUUGCAUUAUCCUCUGUUGUCUCUCCUUGUCGUGUGUCCUGCGGCCAGUCUUUUAUAACCUCUCUGGGCUGGGGUCUUCUCAUUCAUUAAAGGGGAC